UUGUGGAAGAAGGAGCUACCCGCUUCUCACCUGUUUGACGCAUAAAGCAGUUGUCAGGUUUACGUGAACAUAUGACGCACAUAAGUGCGGUUUAAUGCGGGUGAGUUUGACUUCACCGGCAUUUUUUUUAUGGA
rfam:Bacillus coahuilensis p1.1.43 ABFP000033, whole genome shotgun sequence.